CUCGGAAGAAGUUUUCGGAUGGAUUUUGGGAUAGUUUAGUGGCGGACGGGUGAGUAACACGUGAGCAACCUGCCUUUGAGAGGGGAAUAACGGCUGGAAACGGUCGCUAAUACCGCAUAACGUACGGAUGGGACAUCCUGUCUGUACCAAAGAUUUAUCGCUCGAAGAUGGGCUCGCGUCCGAUUAGGUAGUUGGUGAGGUAACGGCCCACCAAGCCGACGAUCGGUAGCCGGACUGAGAGGUUGAACGGCCACAUUGGGACUGAGACACGGCCCAGACUCCUACGGGAGGCAGCAGUGGGGGAUAUUGCACAAUGGGGGAAACCCUGAUGCAGCGACGCCGCGUGUGGGAAGACGGUCUUCUGGAUUGUAAACCACUGUCCCCAGGGACGAAAAUGACGGUACCCGGGGAGGAAGCUCCGGCUAACUACGUGCCAGCAGCCGCGGUAAUACGUAGGGAGCAAGCGUUGUCCGGAAUUACUGGGUGUAAAGGGAGCGUAGGCGGGGAUGCAAGUUGGGUGUCAAAACUACCGGCUCAACCGAUAGUCGCACUCAAAACUGCAGCUCUUGAGUGAAGUAGAGGCAGGCGGAAUUCCUAGUGUAGCGGUGAAAUGCGUAGAUAUUAGGAGGAACACCAGUGGCGAAGGCGGCCUGCUGGGCUUUUACUGACGCUGAGGCUCGAAAGUGUGGGGAGCAAACAGGAUUAGAUACCCUGGUAGUCCACACCGUAAACGAUGAUUACUAGGUGUGGGGGGUCUGACCCCCUCCGUGCCGGAGCAAACGCAAUAAGUAAUCC
rnacentral:rRNA from 1 species